GUAGGGAAAUGCAGAGCUCUGCUGCCUGAAAGGGACUGGAAAUGUAAAGGAAUUGAGUGAGUGCCAGAGGGAAAGUUCAGUGGUGUGAAUGGAGAAGGGAACAGAAACUGAAUACUUGGAUGGACGAGCAGAUUCUCAUUGAUCUCUUCAACCAUGAGCCAGGGUGGCUGGAUACAUCUGGACCAAACAGAAAGGCUUGAGCAUUGAGAUGCCAUGAGAAUGGCCUGGGUGGAUAUCUUUCAGGAGUCCAGCUUCUCCUCCCACUCUGAGAGUCCUAGGGAUUAAAUCUCGGUUGUCAGGAUUGGUGGUAAGCACUUUUACCCUUUGGGCUACACCUCAGUGCCCCCCACCCCAAUUUUUAUAAAGUAUACUACUUUAAUAGAUGAGGGAAUGAAAAUAUUAAAUGGUAGAUAAUUUUCAUUAAAUCUUGAAGACUCCAUCAUAGAUCUCUGAGUAUGCCUGAACACCUAUUUCCCAUGUCUUUUUCU
rnacentral:lncRNA from 1 species